rnacentral:rRNA from 1 species
AAGCGCUUGCAACCAGACUUGCACGCGGUUAAUCAUCCGGUGUUCUCACCGGUGCACUUGACCGCGUUCAGGCCAGCAUCGGUUCGGGUGGCAGGAUAAAGGCCUUGGGAAUGUAGCUUCUUUCGGGGAGUGUUAUAGCCUAUUGUAUAAUACCUUUAUGGGGACCGAGGUACGCGCUCUGCAAGGAUGCUGGCGUAAU